CUUGUAGCUCAGUUGGAUAGAGUGUCAGACUCCGACUCUGAAGGUCACAGGUUCGAAUCCUGCCAGGCG
rnacentral:tRNA from 1 species